CAUCACUGGUGUUCGGGUUGUCAUGCCAAUGGCAUUGCCCGGUAGCUAAAUGCGGAAGAGAUAAGUGCUGAAAGCAUCUAAGCACGAAACUUGCCCCGAGAUGAGUUCUCCCUGAGACUUAGAGUCUCCUGAAGGAACGUUGAAGACGACGACGUUGAUAGGCCGGGUGUGUAAGCGCAGCGAUGCGUUGAGCUAACCGGUACUAAUGAACCGUGAGGCUUAACCUU
rnacentral:rRNA from 1 species